rnacentral:tmRNA from 1 species
GGGGGCGACUGGUUUCGACACGAUAGUCCUGAGGGAAGAAGCAGGCCGAGGUCUCCUCACCUCGCUAAACAGGGGUAAGACGCCUUCAAGCGUCGACAAUGAUCUUGCACUCGCUGCCUAGAUAGAGCAGCGACGCCGCCCGGUGUGCGUUCCCGACACCGGUCCCGGCGCCAUUCAGGGGACUCACCGGACCGGAGUCUGACGGCACUCCGUAAGGGACAUCUGAGCCGACUAGGAACGGAUACGCGGGCCACCGUGCGUCAUCCCGACCGAAUGCCAAGCGGUGGCUGAGCCUGGAGAUGCUUCCCAGGGGGGUGUCGUGGACGCGAGUUCGAUUCUCGCCGCCUCCACCA